GUUGGGGGAGGAGUUGACCUUGCUCUUUCGCUCCGAGGGAGCUGCUGCAGCCAUUUUUCUGCCACAAGGUAACAGUGCCAUCUAUGUAUAAAUAGAUGUGCAUGAAGAAAACUGGAAGGGCAUACACAAAACGUGAUACCAGUGGAUGCUUUUGUUCAGGCCUCUCUGCCCUGUGGACCAUAAGGUGAUGAAACUCACAGAAUUAGGCAGGGGUUGGGCUCUGCCUACUGUAAGUCAUUGUUCGAGAUACCCAUGUAUGCAAAUCUGGCAGUAUUUAUUGUGCUAGGUUAAAAAAAUGGCACAAACCCCUUGAAAUUUUUGUUGGAAUAAAGAAUUCUGAUGUGGAAUGAUAUUUGGAAUAAUUGGUUAAAAUUCCAAAGACAAUAACUUCUAGGUGGAAGCUAGUAGGCUAGGGAGACUUGCCAACACAUUGGGAAUAACAAGUCAGAAGGAAAUGCUGCUGAGAUGUAUCAAUAAAGAUUAUAGGGAAAAAUAAUCUUUUCGUACUGAGGUCCUCCACUGGCAUGAACUGCUCAUGCAACUCUGUUUGGCCACUGUCCUCUGGGGAGCUUAUGCCGAAGGGAGGCAGCUCUUUACUGUCCCCUGAGAGUCUGUUUACUGCCCUGCAUGAGUCAGAUGGCUCUGCUGGCCUGACCUGCUCACUGGCCUCUGAUGGCUGUCUAUCGCUGGUCCAGCAUCUCCCAGGAGCUCCACAGCUUGAGCACUUUCCAGUGAACUUGGGAUAAUAUUUCCCUUGCUAGCUUGAGAUUCAUUUAGAUUUAUAUCUUUUUGUUAUAAAUAAUUAAAAGGGCUGCUGUGGUUACUCAAGAGUAGUGUCCAGGCAGUUCUCCAAAUCUAUUUAUCUUUCUCAGACUCAUUUAGAACCUGGAAGACCUGCAGACCCUCGACUGGAUGUUGAACUUUUUCGCCCUGCUAAUCUUGGUCUGGAGGUACAGGGCUACAGCUAUAGAUCUUGACACCUGUUUCUCAGUCCAGGUCCCCAACACAAUUUCUUGACAACUAUAUUAGCAAAAGCAUUUAACCUGUGCCCAUAGGGGCACUAAAAGCAGAGCCAGGUAAUUUGUUGAGUGGAUCUGAUUUCCUAAAUUAGGAAAUCCUUCUUUGGCAGAGUGUGGGCUGGCUUGGGACAAAGCGGUUUUAUGUAGUGGAGCCAAAGAAGUGCAUAUUAUAACUUCUGAACAGAGAGCAAAAAAUGGGCCUAGAUCUUCAAAGGAAACCUAGUAAGAAAGUAUCUGCUAAUAGCAAAGUUGGUCAAGCAGGGGCUCACAGGGAGAGGCUGCGGCAUCUUCUCAGAGCCGAUGUGAGUGUGGUUGACCCAGAAGUGAGAGGAUCUGUAGCUCCCAGGAACUGGGGGAAAGGAUGAGGACUACCAACAACAAUCAGGCUGGGAGACCGUCAGACAAAUGCCAUCCCUACUUGCAACCUGUACAUAAUCACUGCACAAAUGAGCAACUGGUGCAGUUUCUUUGACUGAAAUGACUAAUAACAUAUAUCUUUGGCUAAACUCCAUUCAAAGAAUACAGAGAAAUAGCAACUAUCUUUUAUUAUGAACUUUAAAAUGUUUUAAUUUUCAACUAGUGGUUUUUAGUAUUACACAAUGCCUUAGAGUCUCCUUUUAUAGUACUUUUUCCGCCCAAAAACUCCAGUAUAAUGCCAAGAUCAUUUAUCUCCCAUAAUUCAAAUUCGGGUUAUGCCAAAGCCUAAUAUGGGAUUUUGUUUUGAUACUUGACCCUGAAUAACGAAUGUAGACCAACAUAUCCUUAUUCUUUUCCAGCAAAUGCUAAACCUUCGAAGCAGCACCACACAGUUCCUGGGUUAUAAAGGCUUUGUUCCUCAGAUGCUCAGGUCCCCAGAAGGUCAGCUCUCUGGGGCAGGCCAAGCCUGUAGCGUUCACUGGCUUCUCCACAAGCUUAUGAAUAAAGCUGAAACUGUGAACUGUUCAAAAAAGAAAAUAGGUGAUUUGAUUUACAACAAGUUAGUAAAGGAAAACAGUAAGAUUCGGGAACAUCUGCCUUCCAGCAGAAUAUUCUUUGUGUUUCUAAUAAAACCAGGAAGCCAAGUGGAUGGAAGAACUGAUUUGAGAUGUGUGAUGCUGAUCCUUGUGUUAUGUUGGCACAAAUAUGGGCAAUUAGGACACAACUUCACACAACAGUGGGGCAAGAAAGUGAAAUAAGGAAUAGAGGGAUAUCUAGCGAUAAUAGGGUUGAUUAUGUGACAGGCACAUUUAUGGCGAAGCAAAGAGGAAGGGAUUUGGCAUCAAUUAACAGACUUCCUGAGUUCAAACCUGACUCCCUUACUUGCUUAACUUAUCUAAGCGUCAGUUUCCCCAUCUGUGAAAUGAAGAGAGUAAUAUCAUAGGGUCUUUUUGGAGGCACCAAUAAAAUAAAACCUGUAAGACAGCACAGUCCUUGGUGCAUGGUUAGGAGUUAAAGUAAAAUUAAAAAUAAAAAAGUUAACAGUUGUAACUGAUGGCAGAGACACAAAUAUCCCAUUCAUCUAGCGUGUUUAGUUUGCGUCAGUGGUGUCAUGGGAUUGUGUAUAAACGCCCAAUUUUCUCUACCUGCCAUACAUCUCUGACAGGGCCACUCUUAUGAGGAAAAACACCUUUGAGAGAUGUCUCUUGAAUAGGAAUUUGCUUUAGUUAUAUCUUAACAUAAGCAAGAGGCUUUUUUGUUAAAAUAACUUACUUCACUGUUCUGGCCCACUGCCCUGAACAUUCCACUUUGUUUUGUGUGACAGUGGGUUUUAAGUCAGCCAGUGUACAAGGCCCCAGAAUUCUGUUACAUCUGGGUUCAGAAAACUAUUUACUUUCUUCUAUAGUUUUCUGAACUAAUCUUAUUUCUUGGUUGUCACAUCUCAUAACUCACAACUGCUAUGUAUUGAAUUUUGGCCUUUCUCUUUCCCCUUCACCAUAAAGCUACAUCCUUGAAAGACAGGCAGCCCUUUCUUUCUUUUUUUUUCCCCUUAAUUUUUCACUGCAAAACUAAUUCGCAUACUUUGUUGAUUUUUUUUUCAUCCAAAGGCAAAUAACACAGGUGUGUGUGUGUGUGUGUGUGUAUAUGUGUGUGUAUAUAGUUCCCCAACUAAAAAGGGGAAAUCCGCCAUUAACUUCCAUAAUUUCCUCACCUCCAUGCCACUUUACAGAGAUAAUUGAUGUUAACCAUAGGCCUGUGUUCUUCCAAACAGCUUUCCAUGUAUCUACAAACAUUCCUAUCCUAUAUGUUAGGGAGAAAUUUGUUGUUGAUUUGACAAAAAUAAAAUCAUUGUAUACACACUGUUCUGCAGCUUGCUUUUUUUCCUGUUUAACCACGUACCACGGACAUCUUCUCAUAGUGUUGUUGUUCCCAUUUUUUUGUAACGAGUUGUGUUCUGUAAGCAUAACUGUGUAUAGUUAUUAACUUAUCCCUUCAUUCACUGAGUUAAUAUUUAUUGAUCAUCAAAAUGAGGAAAAUAUGCUAGUUGCUGUGGAAAAUGCAAGGAUGUAAGAGAGAGUUUUUGCCCUCUGGAUUCUUAUUAUAAUCUGGAAAGAGAAAUAAUACAGGGACGCAUAUAAGUCCCAUAUUAAGUAGUACAGAAUAUGUCAACUUAGAUUUUAGUACCACUGUAGGUCAGAGAAAAGUAAAAUGACUUUUGGAAGGGCUGACCAGGAAGGUUUUUUUUAGGGGAUUUUGGAUAUAAAUUGGGUCUGGAAAGAUUGGCUGUAUUUCAACUGAUGUAAAAAAGGAAGAAAAAAUACUUUUAGCCAAAUCUCUGAAAGAAGAAAUAAUGAGGCAUGUUUAAAGGAACACCACAAUCCAAAUGCUUUGAUGGUAAAACACUUCUUGAUUUCAGAAAUAUUAAAAGCUGGGGGGAAAUGUACAAAUUAAAUCAAGAAAAUACAGUAUUUGGUCAAUUUGACUGGAAUGGCAGAUUUCCAGAACGUAGAACUGAUAGAGAAAUCUGGAAAAGUAAGUAGAAACCAAAUCAUGGAGAAUCUCGAAUGGCAGGGGAAAUCUGAAAUUUGUCUGUUUUGAUUCUUGCAUAUAAUUCUCUUCCAGAUCUUUCUUUUCUUCUUAUCACAAGCUGUUAGAAUUUAGGAAGAGACCUGAUAAGCUAGUCUUGAAAUAUAAAAGUUUAUAUUCUGGAGUCCUUAUUAAAGUGAUGUCUUUAAAGCUAUUGGUCCAUUUUGUCAGGCCCUCCCAUUACAGACUGUUUUUUUCCAUAAAGAGAUAAACAUUUCAUAUUAAUUUACUCAGGUGCCCAGCACUGUGCCAGACACCAAGAUGUCAGUGGUGAACAAGACAGUCUCAGCCUCCCAUGCUCAUGGCCUGAUUGAUAGAAUUUCUAGUGCCUUCGCCCCACUUCCCAGACACCAUCAGUGUCAAAUUCUGCUGGCCUGUCACCCAUUAAAAAUACACAUCACCUUGACGUCACCUUCUGCUGCUUUGCCCUUGUUUUUCGUCUGUGGUUAUGAUUUCCUGCUUGCCCUGCUGAAUUCUGAUUUCUUGAAAACCCCGUGCCCUUUCUUAACACCUAGGUGACUUUUCCCCACUGUGCUUUUAUGUAAAGCAGAACUAUUUACAAGGGAAAUUUUAGUUGUUACAGCAUCUCCGUAAUUAUUUGCUAAAAUAAAAAAAAAUUGGUUUUUGGAUUUCCUUUAUGUUGAUGAGGACAACUACAAUGAAGAUGAUGAUGAAGCAUGGGUGGACUUAGAAAUAUGCUAAAUAUCUCCUACAGAAAAGGUCCUAUUAUAAACACAAAUGGAGAAAACUUCUAUUUGGGUCUUAGCCUUAGGCAUGAAGCUCAGUAUACACAUUUAGGAUUUUUCGUUUUCUUGAGGAGUUAACCCCUUUACUGUUAUGAAAUGUCCUUCUUCAUCCCUGAUAAUAUUCCUUCUGGAAGCUACCUUGUCUGACAUUAAUAUAGCUAUUCUAGUAGCCUCCAAGAUGGUCCCCAAUGAUCCCCAUCUGGUGUACGCUCUUGUGUAGUCCUCUCUCACAUUGUACCAAAAUUGGUCCGUGUAACCAAUGAAAUAUGGCAAAAGUGAAGUUAUUUCACAUCUCAGAUUAGGUUAUAAAAGACUGUGGCUUCUGUCAUAGGCCUUCUUUCUCUCUCUCUCUUUCUCCGAUCACUUCCUCUGGGGGACACCAUGUCAUGAGCAGCCUAUAAAGAAUUCAUAUGGUGAGCCAUCCCUGAUGGCCUAGUAGUUAAAGUUUGGUGUACUCACUUCGGCAGCCCAGGUUCAGGUCCCGG